rnacentral:tRNA from 1 species
CAAAAAAUAGUUUAAAAAAUAUUAACUUUGGAAGUUAAAGAUAUAAGAAAUUAUUUUUUUGA